GCGGCCAUAGUCUAGCCCGGUCUAGGAUGGCACCCUUCCAAGGUGCUGAGCCGGGUUCAAAUCCCGGUGGCCGCACCA
rnacentral:tRNA from 1 species